rnacentral:rRNA from 1 species
GCAGCGCGGGGCAACCUGGCGGCGAGUGGCGAACGGGUGAGUAAUAUAUCGGAACGUACCCAAGAGUGGGGGAUAACGCAGCGAAAGUUGCGCUAAUACCGCAUACGAUCUAAGGAUGGAAGCAGGGGACCGCAAGGCCUUGUGCUCCUGGAGCGGCCGAUAUCUGAUUAGCUAGUUGGUGAGGUAAAGGCUCACCAAGGCGACGAUCAGUAGCUGGUCUGAGAGGACGACCAGCCACACUGGAACUGAGACACGGUCCAGACUCCUACGGGAGGCAGCAGUGGGGAAUUUUGGACAAUGGGCGCAAGCCUGAUCCAGCAAUGCCGCGUGAGUGAAGAAGGCCUUCGGGUUGUAAAGCUCUUUUGUCAGGGAAGAAACGGCUGUGGCUAAUAUCCACGGCUAAUGACGGUACCUGAAGAAUAAGCACCGGCUAACUACGUGCCAGCAGCCGCGGUAAUACGUAGGGUGCAAGCGUUAAUCGGAAUUACUGGGCGUAAAGCGUGCGCAGGCGGUUUUGUAAGUCUGACGUGAAAUCCCCGGGCUUAACCUGGGAAUUGCGUUGGAGACUGCAAGGCUAGAAUCUGGCAGAGGGGGGUAGAAUUCCACGUGUAGCAGUGAAAUGCGUAGAGAUGUGGAGGAACACCGAUGGCGAAGGCAGCCCCCUGGGUCAAGAUUGACGCUCAUGCACGAAAGCGUGGGGAGCAAACAGGAUUAGAUACCCUGGUAGUCCACGCCCUAAACGAUGUCUACUAGUUGUCGGGUCUUAAUUGACUUGGUAACGCAGCUAACGCGUGAAGUAGACCGCCUGGGGAGUAC